rnacentral:rRNA from 1 species
GACGAACGCUGGCGGCGUGCUUAACACAUGCAAGUCGAACGGAAAGGCCCUGCUUGCAGGGUGCUCGCGUGGCGAACGGGCGAGUAACAAGUGGGUGAUCUGCCCCUCAUUUUGGGAUAAGCCUGGGAAACUGGGUCUAAUACUGGACAGGAACAUGAUGUAGGUGGAGUGGUGGAAAGAUUAGUUUCGGUCGGGGGUGAUCUCGGGGCCUAUCAGCUUGUUGGUGGGGUAAUGGCCUACCAAGGCGUCGACGGGUAGCCGGCCUGAGAGGGUGGACGGCCAGAUUGGGACUGCUACGCGACCCAGACUCCUAGGGUAGUCAGCAGUGGGCGAAAGUGCACAAGGGGCGCGAGCCUGAUGCGGCGACGCCGCGUGGGUGAUGACGGUCUUCGGGUUGGGAACUCCUAUCAUCCAAGUCGAUGCGCUUGUGGUGACGGUAGUGGUAGAGGAAGCACCGGCUAACUACGUG